rnacentral:rRNA from 1 species
CACGUAGGGGGCAAGCGUUGUCCGGAUUUAUUGGGCGUAAAGAGCUCGUAGGUGGUUCGGUAAGUCAGGUGUGAAACCUCCAGGCUCAACCUGGAGACGCCACUUGAUACUGCUGUGACUGGAGUCCGGUAGGGGAGCGUGGAAUUCCUGGUGUAGCGGUGAAAUGCGCAGAUAUCAGGAGGAACACCGAUGGCGAAGGCAGCUCGCUGGGACGGUACUGACGCUGAGGCGCGAAAGCGUGGGGAGCAAACAGG